rnacentral:tRNA from 1 species
GUAAGUCAUUGAAAGUGAAGGUUAUAUUUGUGCUGUGAUAUACAAAAGUGAGGGUUCGAAUCCCUCCCUCACCGCCA